rnacentral:tRNA from 1 species
GGAAAGAUGCUCGAGUGGCUGAAGAGGCACGAUUGGAAAUCGUGUGACCGACAAAAUCGGUUCUAGGAUUCGAAUCCCUAUCUUUCCG